rnacentral:rRNA from 1 species
GCAUAUCAAUAAGCGGAGGAAAAGAAACCAACGGGGAUUGCCCUAGUAACGGCGAGUGAAGCGGCAACAGCUCAAAUUUGAAAUCUGGCUCUUUCAGGGUCCGAGUUGUAAUUUGUAGAGGGUGCUUUGGCGUUGACUGUGGUCUAAGUUCCUUGGAACAGGACGUCGCAGAGGGUGAGAAUCCCGUAUGUGGCCGCCAGUCUUCGCCGUGUAAAGCCCCUUCGACGAGUCGAGUUGUUUGGGAAUGCAGCUCUAAAUGGGAGGUAAAUUUCUUCUAAAGCUAAAUAUUGGCCAGAGACCGAUAGCGCACAAGUAGAGUGAUCGAAAGAUGAAAAGCACUUUGGAAAGAGAGUCAAAAAGCACGUGAAAUUGUUGAAAGGGAAGCGCUUGCAGCCAGACUUGCCUGUAGUUGCUCAUCCGGGCUUUCGAGCCCGGUGCACUCUUCUACGGGCAGGCCAGCAUCAGUCCUGGCGGUUGGAUAAAUGUCUGCGCAAUGUACCUCUCCUCGGGGAGGACUUAUAGGUGCAGGCGGCAUACAACCAGCCGGGAUUGAGGUCCGCGCAUCUGCUAGGAUGCUGGCGUAAUGGCUGUAAGCGGCCCGUCUUGAAACACGGACCAAGGAGUCUAACAUCUAUGCGAGUGUUUGGGUGUCAAGCCCGAGCGCGUAAUGAAAGUGAACGGAGGUGGGAACCCCUCGGGGUGCACCAUCGACCGAUCCUGAUGUCUUCGGAUGGAUUUGAGUAAGAGCAUAGCUGUUGGGACCCGAAAGAUGGUGAACUAUGCCUGAAUAGGGUGAAGCCAGAGGAAACUCUGGUGGGAGGCUCGCAGCGGUUCUGACGUGCAAAUCGAUCGUCAAAUUUGGGCAUAGGGGCGAAAGACUAAUCGAAACUAUCUAGUAGCUGGGUUCCUGCCGAAG